rnacentral:rRNA from 1 species
UACGUAGGGGCGAGCGUUGUCCGGAGUUACUGGGCAUAAAGCGCACGUAGGCGGCGACGUAAGUUGGGUGUGAAAUCCCUCGGCCCAACCGAGGAACUGCGCCCAGUACUGCGUUGCUUGAGGAUCCAAGGGGUGCAUGGAAUUCCCGGUGGAGCGGUGAAAUGCGUUGAUAGUCGGGAGGAACUCCGGCGGCGAAAGCGGUGCACGUGGGUGGAUUACG